AGCAGUGGGGAAUAUUGGACAAUGGGCGCAAGCGUGAUCCAGCCAUACCGCGUGGGUGAAGAAGGCCUUCGGGUUGUAAAGCCCUUUUGUUGGGAAAGAAAAGCGACCGGCUAAUACCCGGUUGUUUUGACGGUACCCAAAGAAUAAGCACCGGCUAAAUUCGUGCCAGCAGCCGCGGUAAUACGAAGGGGGCAAGCGUUUCUCGGAAUUUUUGGGGGUAAAAAGUGCGUAGGGGGUUGCUUAAAUCUGUGGUGAAAACCCCGGGGUCUACCCGGGAAAUGCGCUGGAUACUGGGCGACUAGAGUGUGGUAGAGGGUAGUGGAAUUUUCGGUGUGGCGGUGAAAUGUGUAGAGAUAUGAAGGAACACCUCUGGGGAAGGGGAGUACCUGGGCCAGCACAGACACGGAGGCACGAAAGCGUGGGGAGCAAACAGGAUUAGAUACCCCGGUAGUCCACGCCCUAAACGAUGCGAACUGGAUGUUGGGUCAACUUGGAACUCAGUAUCGCAGCUAACGC
rnacentral:rRNA from 1 species